GAAGUAAACUGGGUGAUCGCUGUUUCGGUUAUUGAACUGAGAGAGAGGAAAGUCCGGGCUCCAAAGAGCAGGAUACUCCGUAACGCGGAGUGAGGGUGACCUCAAGGAAAGUGCAGCAGAAAAGAUACGGCCAACCCUAGGAUAAAGGCUUACUUUUUCCUCGGCGGCAAAGGUGAAAUGGUGAGGUAAGAGCUCACCAGUACCGCCGGCGACGGCGGUAGCUUUGCAAACCCUAUCCGGAGCAAGAUCAAAUAGGAAAGUGCUUGAGGGCGGCUCGUCCAAAACUUUCGGGUUGAUCGCUUGAGCCUAUCGGCAACGACAGGCCUAGAUUGAUGAUCACCACUUCUUUGAAGGGCACACGCUCUUAGAAGGAGAACAGAACCCGGCUUAUGGUUGACUUCCCCG
rnacentral:RNase_P_RNA from 1 species